GUCGAUGUGGCGGAAUGGUAGACGUGCAUGCUUGAGGUGCAUGUGGGGUAACACCUGUGGGGGUUCAAGUCCCCCCAUCGACA
rnacentral:tRNA from 1 species